AUUGAACGCUGGCGGCAGGCCUAACACAUGCAAGUCGAGCGAGCGGCGGACGGGGGAGUGAUGUCUGGGAGACUGCCUGAAGGAGGGGGGUAACUACUGGAAACGGUAGCGAAUACCGCAUACCCUCAGAUGUGCCCCGAUGGGGUUAGCUAGUAGGUGGGGUAACGGCUCACCUAGGCGACGAGCCCUAGCUGGUCUGAGAGGAUGAGCAGCCACACUGGAACUGAGACACGGUCCAGACUCCUACGGGAGGCAGCAGUGGGGAAUAUUGCACAAUGGGCGCAAGCCUGAUGCAGCCAUGCCGCGUGUGUGAAGAAGGCCUUCGGGUUGUAAAGCACUUUCAGCGGGGAGGCGUUACCCGCAGAAGAAGCACCGGCUAACUCCGUGCCAGCAGCCGCGGUAAUAC
rnacentral:rRNA from 1 species